rnacentral:rRNA from 1 species
GGAAUAUUGGACAAUGGGCGAAAGCCUGAUCCAGCCAUGCCGCGUGUGUGAAGAAGGUCUUCGGAUUGUAAAGCACUUUAAGUUGGGAGGAAGGGCAGCUAGUUAAUACCUGGUUGUUUUGACGUUACCAACAGAAUAAGCACCGGCUAACUUCGUGCCAGCAGCCGCGGUAAUACGAAGGGUGCAAGCGUUAAUCGGAAUUACUGGGCGUAAAGCGCGCGUAGGUGGUUCAGCAAGUUGGAGGUGAAAUCCCCGGGCUCAACCUGGGAACUGCCUCCAAAACUACUGAGCUAGAGUACGGUAGAGGGUAGUGGAAUUUCCUGUGUAGCGGUGAAAUGCGUAGAUAUAGGAAGGAACACCAGUGGCGAAGGCGACUACCUGGACUGAUACUGACACUGAGGUGCGAAAGCGUGGGGAGCAA